rnacentral:rRNA from 1 species
UACGGAGGAUCCGAGCGUUAUCCGGAUUUAUUGGGUUUAAAGGGUGCGCAGGCGGGAGAUUAAGUCGGCGGUGAAAUUUUGCAGCUCAACUGUAAAAGUGCCUUCGAAACUGGUUUCCUUGAGUGUGGAUGAAGUAGGCGGAAUUUGUGGUGUAGCGGUGAAAUGCAUAGAUAUCACGAGGAACUCCGAUUGCGCAGGCAGCUUACUAAACUACUACUGACGCUCAGGCACGAAGGCGUGGGGAUCAAACAGGAUUAGAUACCCCAGUAGU